CAGACCCUGCAGUGUUCGAUAGGGCCAUAUAUUCCUUGAACCAAUGCGAUGCAUCAGGUCGCGGUUCAUGGUGCGCCGCUGUUGCGAUCGUCCCUUUGCCGGAUGAACCUGAUGCGGCGCCUACUGCGACCGAACUGAACUUCACGGUUCAGGAUGCCGGUCCGCCGGCACAGGCGGGGUCUCC
rnacentral:other from 1 species